rnacentral:rRNA from 1 species
UACAGAGGGGCAAGCGUUGUUCGGAAUUACUGGGCGUAAAGCGUGCGCAGGCGGUUCGUCGUGUCCGAUGUGAAAGCCCCGGGCUCAACCUGGGAAUGGCAUUGGAAACUGGCGGGCUUGAGUGUGGCAGAGGGGGUGGAAUUCCGGCGUGUAGCAGUGAAAUGCGUAGAGAUGCGGAGGAACACCGAUGGCGAAGGCAGCCCCCUGGGCUAACACUGACGCUCAGGCACGAAAGCGUGGGAGCAAACAGG